GACGAACGCUGGCGGCGUGCCUAAUACAUGCAAGUCGAACGACGAGACUUUAACUGAUGCUUGCAUCGACCAAAGGAUCGGAGUGGCGAACGGGUGAGUAACACGUGGGUAACCUGCCUAUCAGAGGGGGAUAACACUUGGAAACAGGUGCUAAUACCGCAUAACAAUCAUAACCGCAUGGUUAUGAUUUGAAAGGCGCUUCUGGUGUCACUGAUAGAUGGACCCGCGGUGCAUUAGCUAGUCGGUGGGGUAACGGCCUACCGAGGCGAUGAUGCAUAGCCGACCUGAGAGGGUGAUCGGCCACAUUGGGACUGAGACACGGCCCAAACUCCUACGGGAGGCAGCAGUAGGGAAUCUUCCACAAUGGACGAAAGUCUGAUGGAGCAACGCCGCGUGAGUGAAGAAGGGUUUCGGCUCGUAAAACUCUGUUGUUAAAGAAGAACAGGUGUAAGAGUAACUGUUUACACCGUGACGGUAUUUAACCAGAAAGCCACGGCUAACUACGUGCCAGCAGCCGCA
rnacentral:rRNA from 1 species